GAUCCUGGCCCAGGAUGAACGCUAGCCACAGGCUUAACACAUGCAAGUCGAGGGGCAGCAUGGUCUUAGCUUGCUAAGACUGAUGGCGACCGGCGCACGGGUGAGUAACACGUAUCCAACCUGCCGUCUACUCUUGGACAGCCUUCUGAAAGGAAGAUUAAUACAAGAUGGCAUCAUGAGUCCGCAUGCUCAUAUGAUUAAAGGUAUUCCGGUAGACGAUGGGGA
rnacentral:rRNA from 1 species